AGGGGUGAGACCUCCUUCAGACGCCAGCGAGAGGGCGGCUUCCGAUUGGAGGGAGAGGGAAAGCCACAAGGAAGCUUUUUUCCCCUGUAAGGAUGAGGAGAAAAGAAGAAAAAUGUGAAGAAUGCAAGAGAGUUACAAAGAGGAGAUGAUGCCUGCACUCCAUGUAAAAUUUGGUACAUGAAAUUAGAUAAUUGAAAGAAGGAAACCCCCUGCACGAGAGUCAAUAUGUGGUUUAAAUAAAUUGUUGCUUUGGGAGAAUAAUUUCAUUAA